rnacentral:rRNA from 1 species
ACGGAGGGUGCAAGCGUUGUCCGGAUUUAUUGGGCGUAAAGCACGUGCAGGCGGUCUGGUAUGUCGAGUGUGAAAUCCCGGGGCUUAACCCCGGAACUGCGCUCGAAACUGCCAGUCUUGAGUUCGGAAGGGGGAGAUGGAAUUUCCGGUGUAGGGGUGAAUUCCGUAGAUAUCGGGAAGAAUACCGGUGGCGAAGGCGAUCACCUGGUCCGAUUCUGACGCUCAGACGUGAAAGCGUGGGUAGCAAUCAG